rnacentral:rRNA from 1 species
GCGAGCGUUGUUCGGAAUCACUGGGCAUAAAGCGCACGUAGGCGGUGUCGUAAGUCGGGUGUGAAAUCCCUCGGCCUAACCGAGGAACUGCGCCCGAUACUGCGAUGCUUGAGGACCAGAGGGGUGCAUGGAAUUUCCGGUGGAGCGGUGAAAUGCGUUGAUAUCGGAAGGAACUCCGGCGGCGAAAGCGAUGCACUAGCUGGUUUCUGACGCUGAGGUGCGAAAGCCAGGGGAGCAAACAGG